rnacentral:lncRNA from 1 species
UAAAAUGUAUCUAAAUAAAUCAAGUAGCAACCGUAGAGCAAAUAAUUAGAUCAAACUAAAAAUAACCAUAGAAUAUAUGCAAGUUAUGCAUGCUCCUAAAUAUAUAUGAUCCGGAUAUAACCAGCCACAUAGGCGUCCACACAGAAGUCACCCAUACCAAUGGGGAAAAAUUAAACCAGCCACACAGGCGUCCACAAAGAUGCAU